ACGAACGCUGGCGGCAUGCCUCACACAUGCAAGUCGAACGAGACCUUCGGGUCUAGUGCCGCACGGGUGCGUAACGCGUGGGAACCUGCCCUUAGGUUCGGAAUAACUCCCCGAAAGGGGUGCUAAUACCGGAUAAUGUCUUCGGACCAAAGAUUUAUCGCCUUUGGAUGGGCCCGCGUUGGAUUAGCUAGUUGGUAGGGUAAAAGCCUACCAAGGCGACGAUCCAUAGCUGGUCUGAGAGGAUGAUCAGCCACACUGGGACUGAGACACGGCCCAGACUCCUACGGGAGGCAGCAGUGGGGAAUAUUGGACAAUGGGCGAAAGCCUGAUCCAGCAAUGCCGCGUGAGUGAUGAAGGCCUUAGGGUUGUAAAGCUCUUUUACCCGGGAUGAUAAUGACAGUACCGGGAGAAUAAGCUCCGGCUAACUCCGUG
rnacentral:rRNA from 1 species